GGCUCAGGAUGAACGCUAGCUACAGGCUUAACACAUGCAAGUCGAGGGGCAGCAUGUCGUGUGCUUGCACACGAUGAUGGCGACCGGCGCACGGGUGAGUAACGCGUAUCCAACCUGCCCCCCAGUAGGGGAUAGCCCGUAGAAAUGCGGAUUAAUGCCCUAUGUUGUGUAUGGAUGACAUCUGACGUACACCAAAGACUUGUCGCUGGGGGAUGGGGAUGCGUCUGAUUAGGCAGUAGGCGGGGUAACGGCCCACCUAGCCUUCGAUCAGUAGGGGUUCUGAGAGGAAGGUCCCCCACAUUGGAACUGAGACACGGUCCAAACUCCUACGGGAGGCAGCAGUGAGGAAUAUUGGUCAAUGGGCGCGAGCCUGAACCAGCCAAGUAGCGUGCAGGAUGACGGCCCUACGGGUUGUAAACUGCUUUUGCCGGGGAAUAAAGUGGCGUACGUGUACGCUUUUGUAUGUACCCGGAGAAUAAGGACCGGCUAAUUCCGUGCC
rnacentral:rRNA from 1 species